UACGGAGGGGGCUAGCGUUGUCCGAAGUUACUGGGCGUAAAGCGCGCGUAGGCGGGUUGGUAAGUCCGCUGUGAAAGCCCGGAGCUCAACUCCGGAGGGUCGGUGGAUACUGCCAGUCUUGAAGGUGCUAGGGGGAGAUGGAAUUACCGGUGUAGCGGUGAAAUGCGUAGAUAUCGGUAGGAACACCAGUGGCGAAGGCGGUCUCCUGGGGCAUUCUUGACGCUGAGGCGCGAAAGCGUGGGGAGCGAACAGG
rnacentral:rRNA from 1 species